rfam:Epulopiscium sp. SCG-B11WGA-EpuloA1 SCGB11WGA_33, whole genome shotgun sequence.
GUAGGUUAUGGAGACAUGUGUCCUAUCACCAUGGGGGGUAAAGUGGUGGGCACUCUGUGUGCCAUUGCAGGCGUACUGACCAUUGCUUUGCCUGUUCCAGUCAUUGUUUCCAAC